rnacentral:rRNA from 1 species
AUCGAACGCUGGCGGCAGGCCUAACACAUGCAAGUCGAACGAGUGGCGGACGGGUGAGUAAUGUCUGGGAACCUGCCCGAUCGAGGGGGAUAACUACUGGAAACGGUAGCUAAUACCGCAUACUAUCGGAUGUGCCCAGAGGGGAUUAGCUAGUAGGUGGGGUAAUGGCUCACCUAGGCGACGAUCCCCAGCUGGUCUGAGAGGAUGACCGGCCACACUGGAACUGAGACACGGUCCAGACUCCUACGGGAGGCAGCAGUGGGGAAUAUUGCACAAUGGGCGCAAGCCUGAUGCAGACAUGCCGCGUGUGUGAAGAAGGCCUUCGGGUUGUAAAGUACUUUCAGCGAGGAGGCGUUACUCGCAGAGAAAGCACCGGCUAACUCCGUGCCAGCAGCCGCGGUAAUUC